rnacentral:rRNA from 1 species
CUAGUCAUCUCAGUAAUGCAGCUAACGCAUUAAGUGUACAGCCUGGGGAGUACGGUCGCAAGAUUAAAACUCAAAGGAAUAGACGGGGACCCGCACACGCGGUGGAGCAUGUGGUUUAAUUCGAAGAUACGCGAAGAACCUUACCUGGGCGUGAUAUCCUAAGAACCUUUUAGAGAUAAGAGGGUGCUAGCUUGCUAGAACUUAGAGACAGGUGCUGCACGGCGGUCGUCAGCUCGUGUCGUGAGAUGUUGGGUUAAGUCCCGCAACGAGCGCAACCCA